ACAGAGAUAUCAGACACAAUUAGCAAACUGAAAGUUUGCCACUGCAAUGUGUUUAUUAAAGAAUAUUGUGUUACCUAUAUUGCAUAUUAUAGUGUUUUCUGAAACUCUUACCCCGUUAUGAAUUAGUUAUCACUUGUUGAGUCAGUGAACUCAUUCCUUACUUUUAUGUCUACAGAUACAAGUGUUCAUUCCUAUACCGAGACUUGAGCUAGUGUACUUCAGUGCUGAGCCGCACGUUUCCUUCCAUGGGUGAUGCUGAGAACUUAUUGGCUGAAUGGCAACUGGAGCACGUCGUCUACUCGCUCAUACGAUCUUCUAAGACCAUCCAAUCUCUGGCAUAUUGGUGGGAGAAGAUGUGGGAGCCUGGGAGGUACCUUCAGUUGACUCCAACCUUUGCAAAUGCUCUUACUUGCAAUAAGAGGAUGAUAAUGUAGUAGGUAAACUCAUGGAACGAACAAGGCUGGUGAUUUUUAUAUUUUCCACUGAAGCUCAAAAAAUUUUCUUCUACUGUUUAAAGCCUAUCAAGUAUGAUGAUGAUUUCUUGGCUUUGGUUUAGAUACACUUAGUUAAGAAUCUUUUUUUUUUUAAUAAUGAAAUCAAAGUUAGGUGCCUCUGUAUCAAUUGAAUCUUCUAAUGCACAAAGAAGUCCUAAGACUGAGACAUGA